rnacentral:rRNA from 1 species
AUUGAACGCUGGCGGCAGGCCUAACACAUGCAGGUCGAGCGGAUGAAGGGAGCUUGCGCCUGGAUUCAGCGGCGGACGGGGGAGUAAUGCCUAGGAAUCUGCCUGGUAGUGGGGGAGAACGUCCGGAAACGGGCGCUAAUACCGCAUACGUCCUGAGGGGGAAAGUGGGGGAUCUUCGGACAGCACGCUAUCAGAUGAGCCUAGGUGGGUUUAGCUAGUUGGUGGGGUAAAGGCCUACCAAGGCGACGAUCCGUAACUGGCCUGAGUGGAGGGGCAGUCACCCUGGAGCUGAGCCGCGGUCCAGGGUCCUGCGGGAGGCCGCAGUGGGGAAUGUUGGGCAAUGGGCGAAAGCCUGAUCCAGCCGUGGCGCGUGUGUGAAGAAGGUCUUCGGAUUGUGAAGCCCUUUAAGUUGUGAGGAAGGGCAUUAAGUUAAUACCUUGCUGUUUUGACGUUACCGACAGAAUAAGCACCGGCUAACUUCGUG